rnacentral:rRNA from 1 species
GAUGAACGCUGGCGGCGUGCCUAAUACAUGCAAGUCGAGCGAACAGACGAGGAGCUUGCUCCUCUGACGUUAGCGGCGGACGGGUGAGUAACACGUGGAUAACCUACCUAUAAGACUGGGAUAACUUCGGGAAACCGGAGCUAAUACCGGAUAAUAUAUUGAACCGCAUGGUUCAAUAGUGAAAUACGGUUUUGCUGUCACUUAUAGAUGGAUCCGCGCCGCAUUAGCUAGUUGGUAAGGUAACGGCUUACCAAGGCAACGAUGCGUAGCCGACCUGAGAGGGUGAUCGGCCACACUGGAACUGAGACACGGUCCAGACUCCUACGGGAGGCAGCAGUAUGGAAUCUUCCGCAAUGGGCGAAAGCUUGACGGAGCAACGCCGCGUGAGUGAUGAAGGUCUUCGGAUCGUAAAACUCUGUUAUUAGGGAAGAACAAAUGUGUAAGUAACUAUGCACGUCUUGACGGUACCUAAUCAGAAAGCCACGGCUAACUACGUG